rnacentral:rRNA from 1 species
GGCCCUACGGGAGGCAGCAGUAGGGAAUAUUGCUCAAUGGGGGAAACCCUGAAGCAGCAACGCCGCGUGAAGGAAGAAGGCUUUCGGGUUAUAAACUUCUUUUAUCAGGGACGAAGCAAGUGACGGUACCUGAUGAAUAAGCCACGGCUAACUACGUGCCAGCAGCCGCGGUAAUACGUAGGUGGCAAGCGUUAUCCGGAUUUACUGGGUGUAAAGGGCGUGUAGGCGGGAGUGCAAGUCAGAUGUGAAAACUAUGGGCUCAACCCAUAGCCUGCAUUUGAAACUGUACUUCCUGAGGGCUGGAG